rnacentral:rRNA from 2 species
AACGGCGAGUGAAGCGGCAAGAGCUCAAAUUUGAAAUCUGGCUCCUUCGGGGCCCGAGUUGUAAUUUGCAGAGGAUGCUUCGGGGGUGGCCGCCGCCUAAGUCCCCUGGAACGGGGCGUCAUAGAGGGUGAGAAUCCCGUCUUUGGUGGGCCGGCUGCUCCCGGGUGAAGCUCCUUCGACGAGUCGAGUUGUUUGGGAAUGCAGCUCUAAGCGGGUGGUAAAUUUCAUCUAAAGCUAAAUAUCGGCCGGAGACCGAUAGCGCACAAGUAGAGUGAUCGAAAGACGAAAAGUACUUUGAAAAGAGAGUUAAACAGCACGUGAAAUUGUUGAAAGGGAAGCGCUGGCCGCCAGAUUCGACUCCAGGGGCUCACCGGGCAUGCUCUGCCCGGGCACUCCCCUGGGGCCGGGUCAGCAUCGGUUCAGGCGGUCGGUCAAAGGCCCCCGGAAUGUGUCGCCUCUCGGGGCGUCUUAUAGCCGGGGGUGCAAUGCGGCCUGCCCGGAUCGAGGAACGCGCUUCGGCACGGAUGCUGGCAUAAUGGCGGUCAGCGGCCCGUCUUGAAACACGGACCAAGGAGUCUAACAUCCACGCGAGUGUUCGGGUGUCAAACCCGUCCGCGCAGUGAAAGCGAACGGAGGUGGGAGCCCUGAAGGGUGCACCAUCGACCGAUCCUGAAGUCUUCGGAUGGAUUUGAGUAGGAGCGUGGCUGUGGGGACCCGAAAGAUGGUGAACUAUGCCUGAAUAGGGUGAAGCCAGAGGAAACUCUGGUGGAGGCUCGCAGCGGUUCUGACGUGCAAAUCGAUCGUCAAAUUU